rnacentral:tRNA from 1 species
GCUUCUAAAGGAUAAUAGCCCAU